rnacentral:rRNA from 1 species
UACGGAGGGAGCUAGCGUUAUUCGGAAUUACUGGGCGUAAAGCGCACGUAGGCGGCUUUGUAAGUUAGAGGUGAAAGCCUGGAGCUCAACUCCAGAAUUGCCUUUAAGACUGCAUCGCUUGAAUCCAGGAGAGGUGAGUGGAAUUCCGAGUGUAGAGGUGAAAUUCGUAGAUAUUCGGAAGAACACCAGUGGCGAAGGGCGGCUCACUGGAGCUGGUAUUGACGCUGAGGUGGCGAAAAGCGUGGGGAGCAAACAGG